AUCUAGUUUUAAUAAAAUAUUAGUUUGUCAAACUAAAGAUUAUAUGAAUAUAUAGUUUAAUU
rnacentral:tRNA from 1 species